GACGAACGCUGGCGGCGUGCCUAAUACAUGCAAGUCGAACGAACCGCGACUAGGUGCUUGCACUUGGUCAAGGUGAGUGGCGAACGGGUGAGUAACACGUGGGUAACCUACCUCAUAGUUGGGGAUAACAGUCGGAAACGACUGCUAAUACCGCAUAGGACAUAGGCUCACAUGAUUCUGUGAGGAAAGGUGGCGCAAGCUAUCGCUAAGAUAUUGACCCGCGGUGCAUUAGCUAGUUGGUAGGGUAAAGGCCUACCAAGGCGAUGAUGCAUAGCCGACCUGAGAGGGUGAUCGGCCACAUUGGGACUGAGACACGGCCCAAACUCCUACGGGAGGCAGCAGUAGGGAAUCUUCCGCAAUGGACGCAAGUCUGACGGAGCAACGCCGCGUGAGUGAAGAAGGUCUUCGGAUCGUAAAGCUCUGUUGUUAGAGAAGAACAGCGCAUAGAGUAACUGUUAUGAGUGUGACGGUAACUAAACAGAAAGCCACGGCUAACUACGUG
rnacentral:rRNA from 1 species